AGAGUUUGAUCCUGGCUCAGGAUGAACGCUGGCGGCGUGCCUAAUACAUGCAAGUCGAGCGAACAGAUAAGGAGCUUGCUCCUUUGACGUUAGCGGCGGACGGGUGAGUAACACGUGGGUAACCUACCUAUAAGACUGGGAUAACUUCGGGAAACCGGAGCUAAUACCGGAUAAUAUUUCGAACCGCAUGGUUCGAUAGUGAAAGAUGGUUUUGCUAUCACUUAUAGAUGGACCCGCGCCGUAUUAGCUAGUUGGUAAGGUAACGGCUUACCAAGGCGACGAUACGUAGCCGACCUGAGAGGGUGAUCGGCCACACUGGAACUGAGACACGGUCCAGACUCCUACGGGAGGCAGCAGUAGGGAAUCUUCCGCAAUGGGCGAAAGCCUGACGGAGCAACGCCGCGUGAGUGAUGAAGGUCUUCGGAUCGUAAAACUCUGUUAUUAGGGAAGAACAUACGUGUAAGUAACUGUGCACGUCUUGACGGUACCUAAUCAGAAAGCCACGGCUAACUACGUGCCAGCAGCCGCGGUAAUACGUAGGUGGCAAGCGUUAUCCGGAAUUAUUGGGCGUAAAGCGCGCGUAGGCGGUUUUUUAAGUCUGAUGUGAAAGCCCACGGCUCAACCGUGGAGGGUCAUUGGAAACUGGAAAACUUGAGUGCAGAAGAGGAAAGUGGAAUUCCAUGUGUAGCGGUGAAAUGCGCAGAGAUAUGGAGGAACACCAGUGGCGAAGGCGACUUUCUGGUCUGUAACUGACGCUGAUGUGCGAAAGCGUGGGGAUCAAACAGGAUUAGAUACCCUGGUAGUCCACGCCGUAAACGAUGAGUGCUAAGUGUUAGGGGGUUUCCGCCCCUUAGUGCUGCAGCUAACGCAUUAAGCACUCCGCCUGGGGAGUACGACCGCAAGGUUGAAACUCAAAGGAAUUGACGGGGGCCCGCACAAGCGGUGGAGCAUGUGGUUUAAUUCGAAGCAACGCGAAGAACCUUACCAGGUCUUGACAUCCUUUGACCACUCUGGAGACAGAGCUUUCCCUUCGGGGACAAAGUGACAGGUGGUGCAUGGUUGUCGUCAGCUCGUGUCGUGAGAUGUUGGGUUAAGUCCCGCAACGAGCGCAACCCUU
rnacentral:rRNA from 2 species